rnacentral:rRNA from 1 species
GCAAACCGGAUUAGAUACCCGGGUAGUCCCAGCUGUAAACUAUGCAAACUCGGUGAUGCAUUGGCUUGUGGCCAGUGCAGUGCCGCAGGGAAGCCGUUAAGUUUGCCGCCUGGGAAGUACGUACGCAAGUAUGAAACUUAAAGGAAUUGGCGGGGGAGCACCACAAGGGGUGAAGCCUGCGGUUCAAUUGGAGUCAACGCCAGAAAUCUUACCCGGAGAGACAGCAGAAUGAAGGUCAAGCUGAAGACUUUACCAGACAAGCUGAGAAGUGGUGCAUGGCCGUCGCCAGCUCGUGCCGUGAGAUGUCCUGUUAAGUCAGGUAACGAGCGAGAUCCCUGCCUCUAGUUGCCACCAUUAUUCUCAGGAAUAGUGGGGCGAAUUAGCGGGACCGCCGCAGUUAAUGCGGAGGAAGGAAGGGGCCACGGCAGGUCAGUAUGCCCCGAAACUCUGGGGCCACACGCGGGCUGCAAUGGUAACAACAAUGGGUUUCGAAUCCGAAAGGAUGAGGUAAUCCUCAAACGUUACCACAGUUAUGACUGAGGGCUGCAACUCGCCCUCACGAAUAUGGAAUCCCUAGUAACUGCGUGUCAUUAUCGCGCGGUGAAUACGUCCCUGCUCCUUGCACACACCGCCCGUCGUUUCAUUGAAGUGAGCUUUUAGCGAGGUGACGUCUAAUUGGCGUUAUCGAACUUGA